UUAAAAGUUUUAUAGGGUUCCGCAGUUUCAAAUCAAAAACUGGUCUGGUCCGAGAUAAAACGCACAGUACACCUGUGUUCACGGAAGGAUAAAAGCCUGGGAGAU
rnacentral:sRNA from 2 species